rnacentral:rRNA from 1 species
UACGGGAGGCAGCAGUGGGGAAUCUUGGACAAUGGGCGCAAGCCUGAUCCAGCCAUGCCGCGUGAGUGAUGAAGGCCNUAGGGUCGUAAAGCUCUUUCGCCAGNGAUGAUAAUGACAGUAUCUGGUAAAGAAACCCCGGCUAACUCCGUGCCAGCAGCCGCGGUAAUACGGAGGGGGUUAGCGUUGUUCGGAAUUACUGGGCGUAAAGCGCACGUAGGCGGAUCAGAAAGUAUAGGGUGAAAUCCCAGGGCUCAACCCUGGAACUGCCUUGUAAACUCCUGGUCUUGAGUUCGAGAGAGGUGAGUGGAAUUCCGAGUGUAGAGGUGAAAUUCGUAGAUAUUCGGAGGAACACCAGUGGCGAAGGCGGCUCACUGGCUCGAUACUGACGCUGAGGUGCGAAAGUGUGGGAGAGCAAACAGGAUUAGAUACCCUGGUAGUCCACACCGUAAACGAUGAAUGCCAGUCGUCGGGUAGCAUGCUUUUNGGUGACACACCUAACGGAUUAAGCAUUCCGCCUGGGGAGUACGGUCGCAAGAUUAAAACUCAAAUGAAUUGACGG